CCCUUAGAUGUUCUGGGCCGCACGCGCGCUACACUGACUACUUCAACGAGUUGUUUCCUUGAUCGAAAGGUCUGGGUAAUCUUUGAAAGGUAGUCGUGAUGGGGAUAGAUCCUUGCAAUUUUUGGUCUUCAACGAGGAAUUCCUAGUAAACGCAAGUCAUCAGCUUGCAUUGAUUACGUCCCUGCCCUUUGUACACACCGCCCGUCGCACCUACCGAUUGAAUGGUCCGGUGAAUCUUUAGGACUGUGGCUGAGGCCUUGCCUUGUGCGGGUCUGGCCGUGGGAAUUUAGUUAAACCUUACCAUUUAGAGGAAGGUGAAGUCGUAACA
rnacentral:rRNA from 1 species